GGGAAACGGGAUGAGGGGCUGGCCCCAGGCCCCUCUAAACAGUGGGGCA
rfam:Gorilla gorilla gorilla genomic chromosome, chr19, whole genome shotgun sequence